GGUUCUGAGAGGAAGGUCCCCCACAUUGGAACUGAGACACGGUCCAAACUCCUACGGGAGGCAGCAGUGAGGAAUAUUGGUCAAUGGACGAGAGUCUGAACCAGCCAAGUAGCGUGAAGGAUGAAGGUCCUACGGAUUGUAAACUUCUUUUAUAAGGGAAUAAACCCUCCCACGUGUGGGAGCUUGUAUGUACCUUAUGAAUAAGCAUCGGCUAACUCCGUGCCAGCAGCCGCGGUAAUACGGAGGAUGCGAGCGUUAUCCGGAUUUAUUGGGUUUAAAGGGAGCGCAGACGGGUCGUUAAGUCAGCUGUGAAAGUUUGGGGCUCAACCUUAAAAUUGCAGUUGAUACUGGCGUCCUUGAGUGCGGUUGAGGUGUGCGGAAUUCGUGGUGUAGCGGUGAAAUGCUUAGAUAUCACGAAGAACUCCGAUUGCGAAGGCAGCACACUAAUCCGUAACUGACGUUCAUGCUCGAAAGUGUGGGUAUCAAACAGGAUUAGAUACCCUGGUAGUCCACACGGUAAACGAUGGAUACUCGCUGUUGGCGAUAUACUGUCAGCGGCUUAGCGAAAGCGUUAAGUAUCCCACCUGGGGAGUACGCCGGCAACGGUGCAACUCAAAU
rnacentral:rRNA from 1 species